AGGACUUUUAUUUACUUUUUUCUGAAGCACCAGAUUUUGGGUAAGUGACCUCGUCCCCACGUCACUGUGGAUCAAUACUUCUCCAAGCUUAUCGCAGAACAGCACUAACUGUUUGACUAAACCCCCUCUAGGUACAUAUAGGGAGGUUAAGAGAGCGUAGAAUGACCAGUCAUGGCAAACUCUCUUCAGACAGUGUACUUGUUUUAGUUGUGUAUGAGCUGUGGAAACUAUGUGUGGCUGAGAGUGUCAGUGUGUUCUAAAGGAGAUGGAGUGUUUGUAGUUUACAGAGUGUUUUGUGAAGUGUGUUUCUUUUUCAGCGUACACCUACACUAAAGCAUGGAAAGACAUGUGGAUCAGCCAUCUUUACGGGACGGGUGUACACCAAUACUAAAGCAUGGAGAGACAUGUGGAUCAGCUAUCUUAACAGGACGGGGGGGCUGUGACUGUAUCUGCUUCUCGUCCUCCUGAGCUGUGGAGUGUGACAAUGGUGUUUGUAUCCUGUGUCAUCAAACGCCAUUAUCACACUAAAUAGCCACGGUGAGACCUCACAACCUCCUCAGCCAAUCAGCACAGAGCAACAGUUCUCACAGCACAUUUAUGGACUUCUUGGGAAUAUGAGAAGUCGACCAUUGUGUCUUAUUGUAUGAAUGUGUGUGUAUAUACAGAGGGGCUUUAUUUUGUCUGUGGCGGGUUGGUUGAUAGAUUGAUGGUUGGCAAAAAUAGAUGGCAAAGCAAGAUGGCAUGUCUGCUAUAGGUAUGCCUACUGACCCAGUUGUCUAUAUUAGACAUGUUAAUGUGUAAAGUAUGCAUAUUGUGUUCCCUUGUACACAGUCUAAAUGACUUAGCAUGGUACCCCCAAGACAAUUAAAACAAUGUAUAUAUGGCUAGCCAGUUUCCCAAGUUUAGUUGUUUAUAUGGAUGGAUUGCUAUCAGUAAAUUCAAAAUGCUCAAAUAAAGCCUAGAAUCAAUAAAGAAAAAUAUGUUUAUUUAUAUACAAAUCAUUCA